rnacentral:rRNA from 1 species
CGCUUUCCUGCCACAGUUCACAGGAGGUCUCGUCUGCACAAUGACCUACGGGUUCAAUUGCCGCGGUACCCUGACCGUGCUAAGGUAGCGUAAUCAAUAGCCUAUUAAUUGUUGGCCUGUAUGAAUGGCACGACGCUGGUAGAGCUGUCUCUGCAAUGUUUUAUUGAAGUUAACAUUUUGGUGAAAAGGCCAAAAUUCAACUAAAAGACGAUAAGACCCUAUCGAACUUCAGGCUAAAUCCUAAUAAAUCUCGAUUUUGUAGGGUGGAACCUUUGGUUGGGGAAACCGAGGACCAAAAAAAGCGUCCAUCCCCUCUACUGUUAGGCCAAAAGGUCAGUGAGUUGCUUAAUUGAUAUACUGGUUCGACAGAACUAUAGUCACUAUUUAAGAUCCGGGGCUGAUUAUAUAUACCCCGCAAAGGGAAAAGUUACCGUAGGGAUAACAGCGUAAUCCUCUCGGCGAGACCACAUUAAUGAGAGGGUUUGCGACCUCGAUGUUGGCUUAGGGCACCCCGAAAGUGCAGGAGCUUUCAAAGGUUGGUCUGUUCGACCAUUAAUGCCCCACAU